CAACCCUCGAACCCCUCCGGGGGUCGGCGUUGGGGAUCGGCCCUCCCUUAGCGGGUGGCCGUCUCCGAAAUACAGUGGCGGUCUCGCCGCAGCCUCUCCUGCGCAGUAGUUUGCACACUCGCAUCGGGAGCGCGGCGCGUCCACAGCCGUUAAACACCCAACUUCUGAAAUG
rnacentral:misc_RNA from 1 species